rnacentral:rRNA from 1 species
AACGAACGCUGGCGGCGCGCCUAAUACAUGCAAGUCGAGCGAGAAGACGUGGCAAUACGUUUGUAAAGCGGCGAACGGGUGAGGAAUACAUGGGUAACCUACCCUCGAGUGGGGAAUAACUAGCCGAAAGGUUAGCUAAUACCGCGUACGCUCCCUUGGACUUCGGUUCAGGGAGGAAAGCGAUACCGUGGGUAUCGCGCUCUUGGAUGGGCUCAUGUCCUAUCAGCUUGUUGGUGAGGAACGGCUCACCAAGGCUUCGACGGGUAGCUGGUCUGAGAGGACGAUCAGCCACACUGGCACUGCGACACGGGCCAGACUCCUACGGGAGGCAGCAGUAAGGAAUAUUGCGCAAUGGGCGAAAGCCUGGCGCAGCGACGCCGCGUGGGGGAUGAAGGUCUUCGGAUUGUAAACCCCUUUCGGGAGGGAAGAUGGAACGAGCAAUCGUUCGGACGGUACCUCCACGAAGCAGCCACGGCUAACUUCGUGCC